GCGGGCGGGCAGGGGAGGGAAGGCCACACGCGGGCGGGCCGCCGGCCCCUCGCCUCUUCCGCCCUGCCGCCGCCACACGGGCCGGCCCCGCGGAGAUGGCGGCCAGGCGGGGCACCGACGAGAUGCGGGAGCGCGUGGUGCUGGGCGAGUUCGGCGUCCGCAACGUGCACACCACCGACUUCCCCGGCAACUACCCCGGCUACGACGACGCCUGGGACCAGCAGCGCUUCGAGGAGGAGUUCCGCGUGGACGUGGUGGGCGAGGAGGACGGCGUGCUGGAGUUUGACAUGGUGGGCAUCGACGCGGCCAUCGCCAACGCCUUCCGCCGCAUCCUGCUCGCCGAGGUACCAACGAUGGCUGUGGAGAAAGUCUUUGUGUACAACAACACAUCCAUUGUACAGGACGAGAUUCUGGCUCAUCGCUUGGGCCUUAUCCCUAUCCGAGCUGACCCUCGACUCUUUGAAUACAGAAAUCAAGGAGAUGAAGAAGGGACAGAAAUCGAUACACUGCAGUUCCAGCUGAAAAUAAAAUGCAGCCGAAAUCCUCAGGCAGCCAAGGAAUCAUCUGACCCUAAUGAGCUGUAUUUCAAUCACAAAGUGUACAGUAAGCACAUGACAUGGGUGCCCUUGGGGAAUCAGACAGACCUCUUUCCAGAUGCUGACUUCCGACCUGUUCACGACGACAUCCUCAUUGCACUGUUGCGACCUGGCCAGGAAAUAGACGUGCUUAUGCACUGUGUCAAGGGUAUAGGUAAAGAUCAUGCCAAGUUUUCUCCUGUGGCCACGGCUAGCUAUCGACUGCUUCCUGACAUUACUCUCCUGCAGCCUGUUGAGGAUGAGGCAGCUGAGACGUUGCAGAAGUGCUUUUCCCCUGGAGUCAUUGAGAUCCAGAACAUCAAGGGAAAAAAGGUGGCAAGGGUAGCCAAUGCUCGGUUGGACACGUUCAGCAGGGAGGUUUUCCGACAUGAGGGUCUGAAAAACCUUGUGCGCCUGGCAAGAGUGCGAAAUCAUUACAUCUGUCUGGCUUGCCAGAAGCGCAGCGCAAAGGAAGAUGAGGGACAGAAAUGCUGGAGCCAGGUGUGGGCUGAAGCUGCGUGGCGGUGUGCUGACUCGUGUCUCUGUGCAGUUUCAGUGGAGUCUACGGGUAUCUUGCCUCCAGACGUGCUGGUGAGCGAAGCCAUCAAGAUACUGAUGGGCAAGUGUCAGCGCUUCCUGAACGAGCUGGACUCUGUGCCUAUGGAGUGACCAGGGGGCAGCUGAGAAGCUUCGUGCACCUGCCUGCAGGAGUUGGUUCCUCUUCCGUAGGCAAGAGCUGUCUGCUUCUGUGCUGUUAACAAUUGUGAGGCUGUAAUACGCGGAGAAGAACGUGGCAGCAGGUCUGAAGCCGAGUAAUAGCAUUUAUUUCAGGUUGCAAGCAGUGCGUGAAGAGGACUGAUACGGCAGCGUAGUAGAGCACUUGGCAGCAGGUCAGUGAGAUCGUGACAGGUCGCCGUCAGUUGGGGACUGUUCUGGAGGUGUCAAGCUCUGUGGUCGCUUACAGGCUGUGUUGUCAUGUAGUGCUGGGCUUCUCUGUAUGGCGGGGAACGUGGAGUUGAAAACAUGCUCUGGAAAAACUGUCUGUCCCCUGUAAGUAUCUCAAGCUACGGCAUUUCUCUCCUCUGUUAGUUUUGACUACUCUGUUCUCAGUGACUGAGUGUGAUUUGGGCUCACCUUGAAGCAGAACUGAGUUUCCUGGGGCACGGUGGAGGGCAAGUGACAGUUCACAUGCCCGUCUCCACCGAGGGAAGCCUGGGAUAACGUGCAGGUUAGCAACGUGGUGAGCACUGCUGGCGGCACCGGGGAGUUCUUGGCUCGUGAAAGUCUCUCUGGACAUGCUGAUAAAAGAACAGGGACACCAGAGUGGGCUGGGAGUGAGGGUGUGUUCCAGCUGCCUAAGUUAAUUGGCUCGAGUGCAGGAAAUCGUGCUUUCUCUGUACUGGUGUCAGUGGGAUGUGGUUACGCGCACUGUGUCCAUACAUCGUGACAGAUGGGGGGGCUGCCCCGUAGGGAGUGUGCGUGUUCAGGGCAAAGCCGGUGCUGGUCUGGAAGCAGGGCAGGAACAGUGGGUCACCCCUGGUGUCACCUCCCUGUCCCAGUGCUGCAGGCCCAUGCUUUGCCUCCAGGGUGUUCAAGCCAGCUGGUAGUGGCUUGUUGGGAAGGUGGCUGCAUCCCUGUAAAGGCUGGUCUGGGGGGGGCGCAGUCAGUGUUCCAUCAGGGUGCUUGCUGGCUCUUGCACCUUUGUGCUUUCAGCAGUUUUGCCGGCAUCUGGGCAGGCAGAUUUGGAGCCCCAAGAGCCAGGCCUAGGUCAGUUCUGUAGUCUGCACCUUCUCGUGUAGCGCUCCUUACAGCCAUAGCCGAGCGACCUUCCCCGUGCUUCUUGCUCGUUUAAAACUCAGUUCAGUGAUGCAGACCUGUCCCUUGCGUAUGAGCUAUACAAGGUAGAAGUGAGGGCGGGUGUAAGCAUUUCAAAGUUCCCUUCCCUCAGCUGGGGCUAGGCAAAUGGCCUAUCACUGCCAUUUAGGUGUUAGUCUCUUUUCAAAAAUAGUAAUUUUGAGCUGGGUCUUUUCAAUUUAAACAAGCUGAAACAGUGUCCCUGCUGAGCAGGGUCACAGCUGGGGCCUUGGGAAAAGAUUUUGUAACAAAAACUUAGUGAAGGGUCUCAGGGGAGAGGCUAUGGCGUUCCGCUAUGGCAACACCCACCCUUUCAGCUCUGCCUGACAAUGAAUGUGUUAGUGCAAAUCUUCCCUUGCUUUCCAAUGUAAUUAGCUAGUCUGGAAUGGUGCAUCCCUUCCCUGAUGAGGUACGCUAUCAUCACCUGUGCUUCUUUUUUUGGCAGCUGGAAUAAGGAGUGCUAAAUACAAAUGAAAUCAUGACACCAUGGGUAUGAAACUGGAAUAGCUUUACUGACAUUCAGAGGUGUAACACAACCAGUUCAGAGACAGCUUCAGAUUUCAACAUUCCUACAAAAAAAGGUUCUAAAAACCAUUUUAAAAAAAAAAACCCUUGUG